CCUCAUAGCAGUGUUCUGGAAUCCUAUGUGAGGGACAAACAUUCAGACCCCAGCAGCAGUGUUCUGGAACCCUAUGUGAGGGA
rfam:Pongo abelii chromosome 3.